AGAGUUUGAUCCUGGCUCAGGAUGAACGCUAGCGGCAGGCUUAAUACAUGCAAGUCGAGGGGCAGCAUGACACUUCGGUGUUGAUGGCGACCGGCAAACGGGUGCGUAACGCGUAUGCAACUUGCCUCGCACUAGGGGAUAGCUUUUGGAAACAGAAAUUAAUACCCUAUAUAAUGCUAAUACCGCAUGGUUUUAGCAUGAAAGAACUUCGGUGUGAGAGAGGCAUGCGUCCUAUUAGCUUGUUGGUGAGGUAACGGCUCACCAAGGCAAAGAUAGGUAGGGGGUCUGAGAGGAUGUCCCCCACACUGGUACUGAGAUACGGACCAGACUCCUACGGGAGGCAGCAGUAGGGAAUAUUGGUCAAUGGGCGAAAGCCUGAACCAGCUAUGCCGCGUGCAGGAUGAAGGUCUUUUGAUUGUAAACUGCUUUUAUGUAGGAAAAACAAGUCUCCGAGGAGACCCAUGAUGGUACUACAUGAAUAAGCACCGGCUAACUCCGUGCCAGCAGCCGCGGUAAGACGGAGGGUGCAAGUGUUAUCCGGAUUUACUGGGUUUAAAGGGUGUUAAGGCGGUCGUAUAAGUCGAUAGUGAAAGCUAGCAGCUCAACUGCUAAGGUGCUGUCGAUACCGUAUGACUUGAGUCUAGUGGAAGUAAGUGGAAUUCUGCAUGUAGCGGUAAAAUGCUUAGAUAUGCAGAGGAACACCGAUAACGAAGGUAGCUUACUAUGCUACGACUGACGCUGACACACGAAAGCGUGGGGAGCAAACAGGAUUAGAUACCCUGGUAGUCCACGCUGUAAACGAUGGCCACUCGAUAUGCGUCCCUUGAGGAUGUGUGUCCAAGCGAAAGCGUUAAGUGGCCCACCUGGGGACUACGUUCGCAAGAAUAAAACCUAAAGGAAUUGACGGGGAUCCGCACAAGCGGUGGAGCAUGUGGUUUAAUUCGAUACUACGCGAGGAACCUUACCUAGGCUUAAAUGUACAGUGACAGGCUGGGCAACCAGCCCUUCCGCAAGGACAAUGUACAAGGUGUUGCAUGGCUGUCGUCAGCUCGUGCCGUGAGGUGUUUGGUUAAGUCCUAUAACGAGCGCAACCCCCAUGCUUAGUUGCCAGCACGUAAAGGUGGGAACUUUAAGCAGACUGCCCGCGCAAGCGGUGAGGAAGGAGGGGAUGAAGUCAAGUCAUCAUGGCCCUUACGCCUAGGGCUACACACGUGCUACAAUGGCAUAUACAAAGGGUCGCUACUUGGUAACAAGAUGCUAAUCUCUAAAGUAUGUCUCAGUUCGGAUUGAGGUCUGCAACUCGACCUCAUGAAGUUGGAAUCGCUAGUAAUCGCGUAUCAGCAAUGUCGCGGUGAAUACGUUCUCGGAUCUUGUACACACUGCCCGUCAAGUCAUGGAAGUCGAGGGGACCUGAAGACGGUGACCGUAAAAGGAGCUGUUUAGGGUUAAAUCGGUAACUGGGGCUAAGUCGUAACAAGGUAGCCGUACCGGAAGGUGUGGCUG
rnacentral:rRNA from 1 species